rnacentral:rRNA from 1 species
GACGAACGCUGGCGGCGUGCUUAACACAUGCAAGUCGAACGGAAAGGCCCUGCUUGCAGGGUACUCGAGUGGCGAACGGGUGAGUAACACGUGGGUGAUCUGCCCUGCACUUCGGGAUAAGCCUGGGAAACUGGGUCUAAUACCGGAUAGGAGCCAUUUUUAGUGUGAUGGUUGGAAAGUUUUUUCGGUGUAGGAUGAGCUCGCGGCCUAUCAGCUUGUUGGUGGGGUAAUGGCCUACCAAGGCGGCGACGGGUAGCCGGCCUGAGAGGGUGGACGGCCACAUUGGGACUGAGAUACGGCCCAGACUCCUACGGGAGGCAGCAGUGGGGUAUAUUGCACAAUGGGCGCAAGCCUGAUGCAGCGACGCCGCGUGGGGGAUGACGGCCUUCGGGUUGUAAACUCCUUUCGCUAGGGACGAAGCUUUUUGUGACGGUACCUAGAUAAGAAGCACCGGCUAACUACGUG